ACUCUAAGAGCGCUCCGCGGGUAUCGGGCGCGCUCUUAAAGGGACAGUGGGUGCCUAAAUUGGAAAAGGCAUCCCAUUGGUCCCUGUCAUGCCACACUCCCCAUACACUUACCUUUUGGGGGCGUGGAUGUGACAGGGACCAAUCAAAUUAGAUGUUUAGGUAUUUAUACUCACCUUCUUUCCUUUGUUCCUUGCCCUAUCGUGGUUUCUGUAUCAGUUCCCUUUAGCGCUUGUUGUGUUCAGUUGUGUUUUCUCCGUAUUGACCUUGGCUUUGUUUCUGACUACGUUUUCUCUUUAUCCUUAUCUGUUCUGGUUGUCGGCUUGUUGUUUACUGUGUACCAGACCCCGGCUUGUCCUAGUUUACGCUGUCUCUCUGUGCCCUUGAUUUCGG